rnacentral:rRNA from 1 species
UACGUAGGGUGCAGGCGUUAAUCGGAAUUACUGGGCGUAAAGCGUGCGCAGGCGGCUUCUUAAGUCAGAUGUGAAAGCCCCGGGCUUAACCUGGGAACUGCGUUUGAAACUGGGAGACUUGAGUGUGGCAGAGGGGGGUGGAAUUCCACGUGUAGCAGUGAAAUGCGUAGAUAUGUGGAGGAACACCGAUGGCGAAGGCAGCCCCCUGGGUUAACACUGACGCUCAUGCACGAAAGCGUGGGGAGCAAACAGG